rnacentral:rRNA from 1 species
CAGUCGCCACGGUAAAACGUAGGUGGCAAGCGUUGUCCGGAAUUAUUGGGCGUAAAGCGCGCGCAGGCGGAUAGGUCAGUCUGUCUUAAAAGUUCGGGGCUUAACCCCGUGAUGAGAUGGAAACUGCCAAUCUAGAGUAUCGGAGAGGAAAGUGGAAUUCCUAGCGUAGCGGUGAAAUGCGUAGAUAUUAGGAAGAACACCAGUGGCGAAGGCGACUUUCUGGACGAAAACUGACGCUGAGGCGCGAAAGCCAGGGGAGCGAACGGGAUUAGAUACCCCAGUAGUCCCUGUCUCUUAUACA